rnacentral:misc_RNA from 1 species
GUGAAUCAUCGAAUCUUUGAACGCACAUUGCGCCCCCUGGCAUUCCGGGGGGCAUGCCUGUUCGAGCGUCAUUAACAACACUCAAGCUCCGCUUGGUAUUGGGUCGUGCCAGCGAUGGCUGUCCCCAAACGUAGUGGCGGCGCCGCCGGGCCUCGAGCGUAGUAAAUCUCUCGCUACGGGACCCGUCGGUCGACGACCAGCAACCCCAAAAUCUCAAGGUUGACCUCGGAUCAGGUAGGAAUACCCGCUGAACUUAAGCAUAUCAAUAAGCGGAGGA